UUGAACGCUGGCGGCAGGCCUAACACAUGCAAGUCGAGCGGAUGAAGGGAGCUUGCUCCUGGAUUCAGCGGCGGACGGGUGAGUAAUGCCUAGGAAUCUGCCUGGUAGUGGGGGAUAACGUCCGGAAACGGGCGCUAAUACCGCAUACGUCCUGAGGGAGAAAGUGGGGGAUCUUCGGACCUCACGCUAUCAGAUGAGCCUAGGUCGGAUUAGCUAGUUGGUGGGGUAAAGACCUACCAAGGCGACGAUCCGUAACUGGUCUGAGAGGAUGAUCAGUCACACUGGAACUGAGACACGGUCCAGACUCCUACGGGAGGCAGCAGUGGGGAAUAUUGGACAAUGGGCGAAAGCCUGAUCCAGCCAUGCCGCGUGUGUGAAGAAGGUCUUCGGAUUGUAAAGCACUUUAAGUUGGGAGGAAGGGCAGUAAGUUAAUACCUUGCUGUUUUGACGUUACCAACAGAAUAAGCACCGGCUAACUUCGUG
rnacentral:rRNA from 1 species